CCUACGGGCGGCAGCAGUGAGGAAUAUUGGUCAAUGGACGAGAGUCUGAACCAGCCAAGUAGCGUGAAGGAUGACUGCCCUAUGGGUUGUAAACUUCUUUUGUAUGGGAAUAAAAUGUUCCACGUGUGGGAUUUUGUAUGUACCAUAUGAAUAAGGAUCGGCUAACUCCGUGCCAGCAGCCGCGGUAAUACGGAGGAUCCGAGCGUUAUCCGGAUUUAUUGGGUUUAAAGGGCGCGUAGGUGGAGUGUUAAGUCAGUUGUGAAAGGUUGCGGAUCAACCGUAAAAUUGCAGUUGAAACUGGCAGUCUUGAGUACAGUAGAGGUGGGCGGAAUUCGUGGUGUAGCGGUGAAAUGCUUAGAUAUCACGAAGAACUCCGAUUGCGAAGGCAGCUCACUGGACUGCAACUGACACUGAGGCUCGAAAGUGUGGGUAUCAAACAGGAUUAGAUACCCCUGUAGUC
rnacentral:rRNA from 1 species